GGACUGACGAGGAGGCUUAUCCGUGUUUGCUCCAGGAGAACAGAAAGACCACGGAAGCAGGAAACUGCUUUGCAUAUGUAUAUUUUGGGUUUCCUGCCAUUCUCAGCCUCGUGGUCCUGUCAUCGAUCCUACUCUUCAUGAAGCAUCGAGCCGGAGACAAUUCGGAGCGACGAGCAAAUCAAAUACCCAAG